rnacentral:lncRNA from 1 species
UCCUAUUCUCUCUUUACUUUGUUGAUAGUGUCUUUUGAAGCACAGACUUAAUUUUGAUGAAGUCUUAUCCAUCAUGCCAUUGGUGGAUCAUGUUUUUGGUGUCAUGUCUAGGAACCUUAACCCCAGGUCAUGAGGAAUUUUUCUUUUUUCUUUUUUUGACUCACAUUCUCACUCUGUCACCCAGGCUGGGGUGCAGUGGCACAAUCUCCACUCACUGCAACCUCUGCCUGCUGGGUUCAAGUGAUUCUUGUGCUUCAGUCUCCCAAGUAGCUGGGACUACAGGUGUGCACCACCACUCCCAGCCCAUUUUUUUUUUAUUUUUUAUUUUUAGUAGAGUUGGGAUUUCACCAUAUAGGCUAGGCUGGUCUUGAACUGACCUCAACGGAUCUGCCCGCCUCAGCCUCUGAAGUGCUGGGAUUACAGGCAUGAGCCACCGUGCCCGGCCUAUGGAUUUUUUUCUUCUAAAAAUUUUAUAAAUUUAGUUCUACAUUUAGAUCCGUGAUCCAUUUUAGGUUAAUUUUUGUAUAAGCUGUGAAAUUUAGGUAGGUUUAUUUUUUUGCAUAUGGAUGUUCAGUUGUUUUAAAAUCGUCUGUUGAAAAACUCUCCAUUCCCCAUUGAGUUGUCUUUUCACCUUUGUCAGAAAUCAAUUGCUAUUUAUGUGAGUCUGGUUUUGGACUUUAUUCCAUCGAUCUAUGUGUUUAUCCUUUCAUAAAUACCAGAUUGCCUUGAUUAUCACAGCUUUAUAGUAAGUCUUAAAACUGGGCAGCAUGAUUCCUUCAAAAUUUUUUUGAAAUCUUUUUCAAAAUUGUUUUGGCUAAUUUAGUUUCUUUGCCUUCCAUAUGAAUUUUAGAAUUAGCUACUCUGUAUCUACAAAAAAUCCUACUGGGGUUUUGAAUGCAAUUUUGUGUCUUCCAAUCCAUGAACAUGAGGUAUCUAUUUAGGACCUCUUUCAUUUCAGUUAUCAGCAUUUUAUGUCAUUUUUCAGCAUAUAUUCCACAGUGUUCAUUUUGGAGGAACUAUUGUUAAGUUGUAUUAUUUUUGAAACAUGGGUUUCCAAUUGCACAUCGCUAGUAUGUACAAAUGUGUUUGAUUUUUGUUUGUUGACCUUGUAUCCUGUGACCUUGCUAAACUUCAUUAGUUUUGGGAGUUAUUUUGUUGUUAACUCAUUAAGUUUUCUACAUAAACUACGAAUAGAAACAGUUUUAUUUUAUUCUUUUUAGUCUAUGAUUUUUCUUGCCUGAUUUUGUUGUUAACUCAUUAAGUUUUCUACAUAAACUACGAAUAGGAACAGUUUUAUUUUAUUCUUUUUAGUCUAUGAUUUUUCUUGCCUGAUUGCAGUGGCCAGAACAAUAACAUGGAGAAAGUGGCCAUCUCAGUCUUGUUCUGGAUCUUAGGAUUUUGAAAGCAUUGUUUUUGACCAUUAUGUAUGCAAGCUGUAGGCUUUUCUUAAAUUCCCUUUGUCAUGUUGAGCAAGUUCCCAUCUAUUAAUUUGUUGUUAGCAGAGUUUCAUGAGUGGAUGCUGAAUUUUCUAUGCUCUUUCUGUAUCAGUUUGGUCAUUCUUUUUGUUUAGACUGUUAAAAUCAUGGAUUUUACUGAUUCCAGAAUUUUGAAACAGCUUAUAUUUCCUCCCAACCCCAAACUUGGUCAUGGUACAUUAUUCAGCUUAUGUAUCUAGAUUUUUAUUUUUUGAGGAUUUUUAUGUCUGUGUUCAUUUUGGAUAUUGUGCAAUUGUUUUUGUUUGUUUUUUCCUUGUGUUAUCUUUAUCUUGGUAUGGUAUCAUGUUAAUUCUGGUCUUGUAAAAUGAAUUGCAAAGUGAUUAUUCUUUCUGGAAGAGAUUUGUAGAAUUUGUUAUAUCUUUAAAUGUUUUAUGAAUUUGCUAGUAAGGUUUUAAACAAUGGUUCAAUUUUUAAAAAUAGAGAAUUUAUUGAGGUUUAUUUAAGUUUGGGUACUGUAUGCCUUUCAAGGAAUUGGUUCAUCUAAUCCUAUGUGCAUAGAGUUGUUCAUGGUAUUUUCUUUGUGUCGUUCUAAUGAGGAUCUAUACUGUUAUCUUUUCUUUGAUUCCUAAGAUUGGAAUCAAAGAUUGGAAUUCCUUCUCUUUUUUUGUCAAUUUUGCCAGAGGUUUAUCAAUUUUACUGCUCUUUUCAAAAAUUAGUUUUUUGAUUGUUUUCUAUUAAUUUGUUUACAAUUGCAUUUAUUUUCUGCCUCUUUUUUUUUUUUCUUCUUUCUGCUUGCUUUAGGUUUAGUUUGGGCUUCUUUUUUUUGUAGACAGGUCUCACUUCAUCACCCAGACUGGAGUAGUGUUAUGAUC